AUAGAUUAAGUUAUUAAGGGCGCACGGUGGAUGCCUUGGCACUAGAAGCCGAAGAAGGACGUUACUAACGACGAUAUGCUUUGGGUAGCUGUAAGUAAGCGUUAAUCCAGAGAUUUCCGAAUGGGGACCCCAACAUGAGUUAUGUCAUGUUAUCGACAUGUGAAAUCAUAGCAUGUCAGAAGGCAGACCCGGAGAACUGAAACAUCUUAGUACCCGGAGGAAGAGAAAGAAAAAUCGAUUCCCUGAGUAGCGGCGAGCGAAACGGGAAGAGCCCAAACCAACAAGCUUGCUUGUUGGGGUUGUAGGACACUCUAUACGGAGUUACAAAAGAACAUGUUAGACGAAUCAUCUGGAAAGAUGAAUCAAAGAAGGUAAUAAUCCUGUAGUCGAAAACAUAUUCUCUCUUGAGUGGAUCCUGAGUACGACGGAGCACGUGAAAUUCCGUCGGAAUCUAGGAGGACCAUCUCCUAAGGCUAAAUACUCUCUAGUGACCGAUAGUGAACCAGUACC
rnacentral:rRNA from 1 species